ensembl:lincRNA
GAUCUUCCUUGAACUGAAAGAUGCAGAACAUCUCUAAGGUGUGUGCGGACAUUCAGACUGAGUGUGGAUAUGAAUACAGAGUGAGGGAGGAUUUACUGGAGCUAAUACACAAUCCUGACUGUGAUCAGAGCUGGUUUACAAAGGACGGGCGUCUGCUAGCAGAUCCUUCAGAUCCUCAUAAACGGAUGCCUCCAGCUGUUUCUGUGAGGCCUGAACAGCUCUGCACUUCAUUCUGUGUGGAGGAAAUCCACCAUGAGAUUGACUGUCAUUACAGUAGACUCAAACACCAGACGCUGUUCAGAGUGUUUAAUGUCACAGAGCCCAUCAGCGGAUCCACUGCAGAAUCACGUGAGUCUGAAAUAUCUGAGCAAAUAUAAGUAAUAAACACAGAAUCCAGCAAAUAAUGUGUGCAUUAGUGCUUCAGCUGAUCAGAUUAUGGUGUAGGUCAGCUGCUUUUGUAUUUUACAGAUGAUUUGUGGUGGAUUUUAGCCCCUAUCUUAGUUUUUUUCUUCAUCAUCAUCCUCAUUGUCUGCCUCAUGUGGCGUAAAAAGAUCUCCAGGUGAGUCUCGAGUCUUGUAUUUGGGUGAAGAAAUGUAAAUAUGCAAGCUAAAUAGAGAGGCUGACAUUAUAGCUGAAGAUAUUAUUGAUGAUUUCACCGCUUUAUAAUACUGUGACAUGUUUGGUAGUCAUGAAUAAUGAUCAAAUCAGUAGCCUAAACAGUUAAAUCUCUCUCUAAAAUAACAUACUACUAUACAAUAUUAUUAUGGAAGUAUUUAAUAAUUGGACUGAUUUAUGUAUUUCAGCUGUAUUUCAAGAGCAGCACGCAGUGGUCCAGCAAACAGGUCAGUGAAUCAACCUGACAGAAAUAGUUAAACUGAAUCAGAACAGUGGUAAAGAUUCAUUUGACUCAGUGAAUCUUUUCUUUCAGGAAUCCUGAAUCUGGAGUCCAAAUGAAGCUUCUGUGACCUGAAUCUGAAUCUGAGCACAUCCAGAAGAUCAUCAGGGCGAUUCAGAGAUUCAGUAAUGUGACACAAAACCAGUCAUAAGGGUCAACGUUUUUGUUUAAAGUUGUUUUUAAAUUAAGCUAUUAGCAAGCCAACAUUUAAUAUUUUUACAAUAGUAAAUUUGGAAAAUGAUGAUCUUAACUUAAGAUUUGAAUGAUUUACUGCUCAUAAGAUGAUCUUUAUAAUCUCAAUAUGAUGUGUUUUGGCUUCUCCGACAAAUGUCUUUGCAGUGUAAGACUGGUUUUGUGCUUCUGUGGAUUUUCCACAUUUACUGCAGGAAUAAAUUUCCUAUCAUAAGGACCAUCUUGCUUAACAUUUUUAUUGUAUUAUGUUUUCCAUUUGCUUGCUGAACACCAUCAUUUGCUCCAGACUUGUGUAUUAAACACACGACUCGCUGAUGUGCACAGUGGCGCUUCUAGUUUAAAUGGGACCCUGAGUGAACCACCCCAUAUAGUCCUUUCUGCUUCACAGUCAUGCUUAGCCAAAAUAACCUCAUCAUCAUAUUAUAUAUAUAUAUAUAUAUAUAUAUAUAUAUAUAUAUAUAAAUCUCCCUUGGUAGGCGUCCAGGAGGCAUCUGAAACAGA